GGUAUGGUAAGCUAAAUAAGCUAAUGGGCUCAUACCUCAUUGAUGGUAAAUUCCAAAUUAAUAUUUA
rnacentral:tRNA from 1 species